CUUCAGCCUCUGUCCCCCUCUUUGAGUUGCUAAGGUGCCUGUUUGCUGAACCCCCCGCCCUCAGUUCUGCAGAUCCUGCAGGUUGGUGGGCAGUGGUUCCACGGGCAAAGUAGGAGGAGCCAACCAGGGGCCCCAGAGGGGCUUGAGCUGGCCAGAUGAAGGCCUUCCCCUCAGCAGCCCAUUUUAGCCUUAUGCCAGGUUAGGGGAAGAGCUCGGAACACAAUGUUCAGGAAAAACAGCCUUGUCUGCCUCAUGUAAUUUCUCCAUUACCCCUUAGUUUUCCUGACAGGGAAGUGGAUACUUGAGGGUGUGUUGUUGGUUCAAGUACCUGGGAAGCCCCAGUAAUUGGUAGGCGUGGGGACCUGACCCCCACCCUCUCCACUCAGCCUGUCCACUCAAGCUAUGGUUUGGGGGAGGGGGGAAGUCCAAUAUGGUGCCCACUCAGACACAUGUCUCCCAGGGAGUAAAACUAUAUUGACUGACUAACCGACAUACUUCCUUCUUGACCACUCUGCCUUCCAUUCCCCUGCAUGAGGCAUACAGGGACCAAAUGCUCCUCAGGGCCUCUGUAUCUGCUAUUUUUGCCUACUCGGAAAGCUCACUCUUUAACCAUUCUGGAAAAUGGGGUCAGGUGAACCUAGGGUGUGAGCCUUCCACUCCAGACCCAUCACCCCAAUCCUUCUAAUUCCAUGUUCUGACCUGGUCUAGGGACUACCCAAAGGAUCAGUAUCUCCGAGAGACCAUGACUCGACUCGGGUGGAGUAGGCUGACCAGUACUUGGUCUGGGGCUUCUCAUUAGGCUGUUGUAUGCUCUUCUGUGAACUUACUCAACACCCUCAAUGGGGAAGCUCCCCUGUCUGCUCACCACUCCCCAGGAGUCCCUGGCCUCCUUUCUGCCUGAUGUCUAGAGGGAGGCUGGAGUGGGCGCUCACUCUCUCAUACAAGCCACAGCUCCUCCCUCACAUUAGCCAUUUCCACUUCUGAGAGUUGAGCCACCCGGCUCAGAUACCCAGACCCUCACUGGCUCUCUAACCCUGUCUCAAGAGGCCCCUUCCCCAGUACUUCACCCUGGAUACGGCCUUAGGACAGGGAUCCCGAGCGCCAGGCUGGCUGGAAAGACCCCACCAGCUGAACACUCCACACACCUGGUUGGUGACUGUGUGGGGCUCUGGAGACCGCCACCCACCUGCCUGACUCCUGCCCAGACCUGUGGUUGUGCCUGUCAAUGUCAGAUGCAGGCGAGAUAGGACUUCAUUCCUGGAAUCAGGCAGGAAUGUGAGCAUGGAAACCACUUUCUUUCAGGCUCUCCCUGGAUUCCUAAGGAUUGUCGUUUCCUAUUAGGAUUCAGCAGGACAGAGGGAGACCCCACACUAAGGCUCUAACACUCAGUGAAUCUUACAGCCAUAUUGGCUACUUUUCUGCUCAACUCCUAACCCCUGAUUUUGGUGGCAAGGGUGGAUCAGGGGUCAGUCAGAACCAUGCAGGCCACAGGAGAGAGCAAACCCUGUUUUGGGGAUCCUCAAAGGGGGUGGUAGGGAGCAUGUCUGGAGUGAGUGGGGCUCUUUCACUGACAAAGCCCUCCCCUGGGUGCAGAGAGGGACGCAGAGCUCUUGAAUUAUCCAUUCUGUCAGGGGAACUUAAGACUUUUUAUUUUUCUUUUCCGAGAGAGGGUCUUGCGUCGCUCAGACUGACGUCAAACUCACUAGAUAGCCAAAGACAGUCUUGAGCUUCUGAUCUUCCUGUCUCUACCUUCUGAGAGCUGGGAUUAUAGGCUCAUGCCACCAAACCCGCUUUACAAGGUGCUGGGGAUGAAACUAGGGCUUCACCAUAGGCCAGCACUCUACCUACACAUCCACAGCCCCCGAGGCACAGGAAAGACUUCUCAGUUCUUUCAGUAAAUGUCUGAGCCAUAGUAAGCCAUGAUGUUCUUUCUCUUCCUAUAGAGAAGGAAAGAAGUACAACUCCUUGCCCUAUCUGGAUCACAGGGGUCCCUGUUCUCAGUCUGGCCUGAGAGGGCUCCAGCUAGGAAAAAGGUGGCCCCUGACAGGCAGGCUGACUGUGGGAGACAUGGGCUGUGAGGAGAGAUGUGAACAUAUCAGUAGUCUAGCCAGGGCCUAGGGGCAGGAUGGGGCCCUGCAGGGUGACCUGUUUUCCCCUCACUUGAGGGAGUUGAAUGUGCACCCCUGCAAGCUCCUGGAAGGCCAGCUAGUAAGCUGUUUCCCACUCUAGCUUCCCACAAGUCUGUGGGCUCCUCAGCCCCCUGCUGAGGUAGCUGCCUCUCUUGGGAACUGGCUUCUGAUGCAGGGGCCAUGGGGAGCUUCCCAAGCCAGACAGACUGCAGGCUGGCGCCGGCCAGCCCCUUCCUCUCCAGCCACUAGGGCCUGCGGCAGCUCUGUAGAACAGGGCAGCCGGUAUGGCAGAGAGCCCAGAGUGGGAGGGCGGCUGCUUCUGGGUCACCUCCCCUGGGCCGGUGCCCUCUGCCAAGGGGCUCUGGCAGAACCACUCCAAGGGGCAUGGAGAAGGAUGGACGCUCUCCCCCGGGGCCCCAACUAUUGGGCCAGCAGGAAGUAGAGAGGUCCAGCUGUGGUCCACAGACCUUGGAGUCUUGGCUUGGGGUUGCUCUGAGGGGGCACAGAACGGGGCCCAGGGAAGCCUUGCAGCCCCUGGGCCCCAAGCAGCAGCGCCUAGAGGCCUGGGCGGCAGGAAAGGGAAAGGUGACGUCAUUGCCGCCUGGAAUCUGCUGUUUGGAGGCGUCGCCAUGGAGACCGGAAGGCUCAGGGAUGAAAGCUGUAAAGUUUCUAAGUAACAGACCGGGCUGUUCCUCAGUGCUCAAAUGCCUGGCUCACACGCAACACCUUGGGUCUACGCUAGCACCACACGGGUACAUAAAACCAAAGUGCUGUGUCGGUUUUGUCCAGGAACAUUAACAGUGAUUGAUUUCAGUUUAAAACAUUUUUAUGGAGGCCGGAGAGUUCGCUACAAGACGGCGAAGAGCACUUGUUGCUGUCGCAGAGGACCUGGGUUCUAUUCUGAGCGCACACACACAGCGGCUCACGGUCGUCUGUCAACGCCAGUCCCAUGGGACCUGACGCGCACCCUCUGCUGAACUCAGCAGUCAGCAGGCAUAUACAAGGUGUACAAACAGUGAUGCAGACAACACACACACACACACACACACACACACACACACACACUAAUAAAAUAAAUAAACUAAAAAUGUUAAAAAAUAUA